rnacentral:rRNA from 1 species
UACGUAGGGUGCAAGCGUUAAUCGGAAUUACUGGGCGUACAGCGUGCGCAGGCGGCUUUGCAAGCCAGAUGUGAAAUCCCCGGGCUUAACCUGGGAACUGCAUUUGUGACUGCAUGGCUGGAGUGCGGCAGAGGGGGAUGGAAUUCCGCGUGUAGCAGUGAAAUGCGUAGAUAUGCGGAGGAACACCGAUGGCGAAGGCAAUCCCCUGGGCCUGCACUGACGCUCAUGCACGAAAGCGUGGGGAGCAAACAGG